rnacentral:rRNA from 1 species
UACGGGGGGGGCAAGCGUUGUUCGGAAUUACUGGGCGUAAAGGGCUCGUAGGCGGCCAACUAAGUCAUACGUGAAAUCCCUCGGCUUAACCGGGGAACUGCGUCUGAUACUGGAUGGCUUGAGGUUGGGAGAGGGAUGCGGAAUUCCAGGUGUAGCGGUGAAAUGCGUAGAUAUCUGGAGGAACACCGGUGGCGAAGGCGGCAUCCUGGACCAAUUCUGACGCUGAGGAGCGAAAGCCAGGGGAGCAAACGGG